rnacentral:rRNA from 1 species
UACGUAGGGUGCGAGCGUUAAUCGGAAUUACUGGGCGUAAAGGGCGCGUAGGCGGCCUUCUAAGUCGAACGUGAAAUCCCCGGGCUCAACCCGGGAACUGCGUCCGAUACUGGAAGGCUUGAAUCCGAGAGAGGGAUGCGGAAUUCCAGGUGUAGCGGUGAAAUGCGUAGAUAUCUGGAGGAACACCGGUGGCGAAGGCGGCAUCCUGGACCGGCAUUGACGCUGAGGCGCGAAAGCCAGGGGAGCAAACGGG